ACCCUAACUCACUCCUAGCUUGGUUUGGAGCUUCAAAAGAGGUUGGAUUAGAAGUAUCCUGGCCUUCACUUGGAGUUUGAUGGGGUUCUACACCAUACAAGGGAGCUAGGAGACUAGUGGACAUCUUUAUUAGCGCAAACAAAGGGGAUCCAAGGAGUUCCUGAGCCUUCCACUUCGGAAGAGGUUAGGGACCGCGGCAAGGGUGUCGCCUCUAGCUAGUUAGCGAUGAGCUUGCUAUUAGGUUGUUCAUCUCUCCUUUUGUUUUAGUUGGAGAGAGUGAGAGCUUUUGUACCCUAUGUGUAGAGACCACCAUUUUUGUAUAUUUAACAUCUUGUAUUUGUAUAUUAUGAUGUAUUUAUUUUGGAUUAUGAUGGUUGUU